rnacentral:rRNA from 1 species
AGAGUUUGAUCCUGGCUCAGAACGAACGCUGGCGGCGUGCCUAACACAUGCAAGUCGAACGAGAAAGGGAUCUUCGGAUCCCGAGUAGAGUGGCGCACGGGUGAGUAACACGUGGAUAACCUGCCCUAUGAUCUGGGAUAACAUUUCGAAAGGGAUGCUAAUACCGGAUAAGCCUACNACUUCUUCGGAAGAUGUAGGAAAAGAUUUAUCGUCAUAGGAUGGGUCCGCGGUCCAUUAGUUAGUUGGUGGGGUAACGGCCUACCAAGACCACGAUGGAUAGCUGGUCUGAGAGGAUGAUCAGCCACACUGGAACUGAGACACGGUCCAUACUCCUACGGGAGGCAGCAGUGGGGAAUUUUGCGCAAUGGGGGAAACCCUGACGCAACAACGCCCGCGUGAA